ensembl:lncRNA
CACCAUAGUAUUAGUGUCAUGUCACAGCCAAUGCCAGAGAGAAUAUAUAAUUAAUUGAUGCUUUUUGCUGAGAGGAACACUUGCUCUACAAGUCAGCACCAGACACAAAGAGAAAGAGGAGGAAGCAGAGAAUGAGCAGAGGGAGAGAGAACGAGAGCUAAAACAGCAGAAAAUCCCAUUUUAGCUUUGAUCGCACUAAGCUCAGCCACUUGUCUCCUCUCUCUCCCUAUUUUAACAGAAUAGAAAGGAAGAGUGAGUGGCUGCAAGCAGAUAUACCAAUGUUUUAUUGAGACCAGGGAUAAAAACGGUGACAUCCAUCUCCGGUUGUGCCUGGAAUUUUUGCUCAAUUGUAUUCUUGUCUUUAGUCAAAGGGUUUUGAGGUCUCUAAGAUGCACUGGAUUUAUUUUUUGAUAUGCAGUAGGUGGAAGCAUGCUUAUAUUUGGGAUGUUGGUAGCAUCCCUCUCCUAUCUCCUAGAUUGAAGAUUUUGUUGAAUGCGCUCACAAAUUCCAAACUGAUCUGAGCUACUGAUGUGUUUGGAUGUCUUUUGAAGUCAACUCUGAGGCAAACCCUAAAUUCUUUUCAGGUGCCACUCUUUGUCUCAACAUAUUGGGUGUUGCUUGCAUUGUAAAGGAAAUUAAGUUCACAUGGGGCUAUGAAGAAAAUCUGGUCCAAACAAAGAUUCCAGAGAGCUGGGCACACUAACUGGAUGUUUGGAAGACUUGCUCAUGUUUUUCGCUUGUGCAGGAAGCAAAGCAAUGAAGCAGACAACACAGAUGAUGAGAAUGGAGAAACCCAGGUCUCCAUGGAAACAAAAGAAAGGUCUAGGGCCCCACAGGCUCAAGCAAUUAGGAGUCAGUUUUCAGGUGGUGCAAAGACAAUGAUUGCUCGUAAUUGCCCCAUAGUGGAGAGAGAGAUUUUGGCUCUGGGUUCAAGAGCCCCAAGCCUACAAGGCCCCUUCCAGUCUGGCAGGAAAGCAAAUGCUGGGUGUGUUCAGAGCCCCCCAGUCAGACAUCUGGGUGUGGAAGCUCUUGUGCGGGCCUCUCAGAUCAGUGUGUACUACCCAGCAGUGGAGUCUGAGGAAAGUAUGUCAUUAGCCAGUGACUACUAUGGCAGCGUGUUCAGCCUCUAUCGACAAAGGACAUUUUCUGUAUAUAGUGCCCAGGAGUAAAUACGAGUUCUUGUGAUAUAAGAACACAAUUUUUUGUGGUUUAAAUGGGCAUAAACUAAAUUUAUGAAAACAUUUUCAUCUUUUCAGCUUUACUAUCCAUUCUUAUUUAUCAGUUUUCCCCUUAUAUUAAGUUUUCCCUUCUUCUUAACCUCUUUCCUUUGACUCCACUUGGUUUUGUUAAUCAUUUUUAGCAGUUUUGUGGUAACAUGCAUCAAUGAUUAUCAGUAUCAGUGGUUACUUUUUGCAUGCCUUUCUGCAUCACUUUCUCCAGAAACACAAGUUUAAUAUGUCAAAACCCUUAUCUUUCACUUAAAGACUGAAAUGCAGUACUUCAGUGUUCACUCUUUUAUUGUCAAAACAUUACAUUUUCCUCAAUUUCAGUGAAAAAGCAUCCUAUUAUUCUGAAGAUUCUGAAGGUUCAAGUAAAGUGAUUAAGAACAAUGUGGCAUUCAAAGGGUCUAUCUUUAAGGAGAGAGCCUCCUCACUGGAGGAUCGUCCCAGUUAUGCUCAUAACAAAUAUGCUCAGAAGAGCUUCAGUGGAUCAAGAAACAUCUUUCACUACAAAGCAUCUUGCUGAACCAGAGCAGACCAAUGCACCCAGAAAGACCAAUGCCCAAAAGGGCAUCUCAAAAGUCCUCUGUUCACCAAGAAGUGAUUUGAGCACUUCAAAGCCUCCAAGUCAUCAUUCUACUUCCACAUUCCCAAAGUCAUUUAAGGGAAGAGAAAAAAAAGCACUCCCCAUCAUCCCUACCAAACUGAUCCCUAUCAUUGUAACAGAAGAUAAGCCAAACAAAUAAAGCAGAAAAAAAGAAAGAAGUAAUUUGGGGCAAUCAAUGUCUCAGAGCAAGAGGACUCCUCUGAUGAUUCCUCCAUAUGUGCAGAAGAGGACAAAAGAGUGGGCCCAAUAUGAACUUCCCCUGGCUCUGAGGUGACAAUGGAGUGCAUCAUUGAAGAAAAACCUUUCUCAAGGCAAGACUGCUUAGCUCCCUCUUUAGCCCAUUUAACAUUGUAAAUGACCAAAAGCCCUAGAAGAAAUGCUUUCUGUCACAGAAACUUAGUUACUUCUGGUAAUACUUAAUGGUAAAAUUGCCUGUCUGCAUCGUAUCACCUCAUGCUUUCUUCCAAUGUGUCACAGACUUUAAAUCAGAGCCAAUACAAUAUCACAUUUUUAGGUUGCUAAUUAGGAAUUCAAUUGUUAAUUAAGAAUUUUUCCUUUCUGAAGUCUACCACAGCCCGUUUAAAACACAGACCUUGAUAGUGCCAUUUAACCUCCCCACUGGUUUGAUUGAUAAAAAUGAUCUCUUUCCUAAUUGUUUUUCUUAUAUUUGAUCUCUUUUGCUCAAUGUUUCAACAGCAUGGAAUUUUAUUGACUAAGUAGCCAAAUAUAAUAAAAACAAUAAAACAAAGUUAGUCGUAGUACUAAUAACAUCAAAUGUUAUGUAUAUGCACACAAUAUCAGGACCCAGAUAGAGACAUGCAUGUUCCUCUCUGGUAAAGCUGCAGCUGAUUCUCUGAGGGUUUCUGCUAUGCUACACAGUGUAUUUAUAAUGUCUCUUGUUCCUUUAAGUAAUUGCAGCCUGUUUUCAUUUCCAACUACAUGAUAAAUGUGUCAUAAUAGUCAGGAAACAUUUUGAGUGAACUUAUAGAUUUAUAGAUUAGUGAAAUUGCAUAUUUUACAGUAUAAGUAAAAUUUAUACUGUAUAUGGUGUAUUAUAUUUCCAGUUCUUAGUCUACAAAUCUGUUGAAGUAUAUUACUAAUGUAUCUAAAGUGAUCUAAAUUACUAAUGUAUUUACAGUGAAAUAUAAUAAAAUCAUUCAUUGUUGUAUUAACUAUGAAAAAUGGUCAGUGAAGAAUUUCUGGAAUUUUCCAUGUAUAUACAGUGCACGCAUACAGUGGCCUUAAUAGUGCCUCCUUCAGUAUAAGAGGAACUGUUUUGUUUGGGUCAGAGAGCAAAGCUUUACUCAAUCUGUGGUUACUUAGUGCUCUCUCUCUCACCACCAAUUGCUCAUAUUCAUCACCCAUGACCUUCACGAAUAUCUCUACUUUAUUUCCUAGUCCUGAUAACAUCCAUCUUAAUUUAAAGGGGAAACUUUUAAACACAGUGGCAGUGUAGGCCACAGUUAUGGUGUUGAAAGGGAUAAAUAAGCAUACUGUAGUCUAUCUACAGUCCUCUCCAAAACUAUUGGAAUGGCAAGGCCAAUUCAUUGGUUUGUGCUAAUCACCAAAGACGAUGAGAGUUUAGGAUUUCAGCUUUUAAUUUUUGGUAUUUACAUAGAUGUGUUGAACAAUAUAAAACAUAGAAGCUUUGGUAUCAGACCAACCAACUUUUAGGUUAGCGAAAGUAUUCCAAGAUUUUCCCUGAUUGGAAAAAGAAUUUUGAUGCUUAUUACUCAGUAAGCACAGUAUGCAUGAGUGGUUUGCAUACUGUAUUAUGGCCUCUAUAUUUCUGCUCUUGAGGUCUUCUUCGAACGGUGUAUUGUGAUAGGCCUACCUUUACCAAACGUUGGCACCCAUCCACCUAGGUCACUGUGCCCCCUCACCUCUGGUAAGCACCCCGCCCAACUCCCCGAACAUGAUUUCAGUCAGUCAGCACCACGCCACUGUGCCCUCUUACUUCUUGAAAUAUUAAUAAUUGUCAUCAAUUAUUUUUUUAAACAAUUUUGUAAACAAAUUUUGUUUUACUAUGAAUACUAUGAAUGAAGAGUAGAAGUUGAUUUAAAAAAUACUUAACAUAAUGAUGUACAGUCAUAAUCAGCCAAUUAUAGCUGCUAUUAAAACAGUGAGGUAAAUAAUGGUUGAGCGCAGUCGAGAGAGUAAACUUUGCAAAGCUGAUGUUGUCUAAAACAUUUAACUACUUUUCUGUGCUCAAGAAUGUUUUAUGGACAACAGGGGAGCAAUGAACUACACUCGUAAUUCUCAGCUCUUGCAUCUUGCAUUUGAGCGGGAUGUGAGAAAGAAAUUUCGCACCGAAUGGAAAGACCUCGUCGCCUGCAGGUUUUCUAAAUGUAAGAUGUCUUUUACUAGCAUAAAGCCAACUUUAUGCCAGUAGGUUUAAAAACUUUUUAGAGUUUUGAUAUUUAUUAAAAUAAACCAUGAAAUCAUAUGUCAAAUUUAACAUGUAUUUCACUACUGAAUGGGCCCAUACUUAAAAUAUACUGUAAUUUAAAUCUCAAUAGCAUUUGAAGGGAAUGACUUACAGUCACAAACCCAAGUGUACAGUGGUCAUCUAGGUGUUAGGUAUGACGCACACCUUUUAGAUUUUUGAUAUUUAACAAAAUAAACUAUUAAAUCAUAUGUAAAUUUGAUAUGAACUAUAUCAAGGAUAGCCUUUACACACACACACACACACACACA